ensembl:lncRNA
GAAUUUGCAGAGACACAUUGCCCGCUUUACAGGGCUGUAUGUACCGACAGUGCCGUUUGUCCGUAAAAUCAAAUGUUAGAGGACACAAAACCUGUUGGUUUCACAGAGAAACAACAUUGCAGACGGUAGGUGUGAAGGCUGUAGGAUUUUCAUUUGCUCCAACAAUAGCAUGUUCUCUGAAUUGAAACCCAGAAAGCCCCAGACAUGCAACUUAAUAUAACUGUGUCUGAGCAGCCUUGAGGAGUGACGGAAGAAAAUUCUGUCUCCAUUAGCAACCUUUAUUGAUUCCCACAUUUGUGAAGAGAUGAAGCUGACUGCAGGAUCACUCUCACCAGAUCAACACAUCACUGAGCCAGUUCGGAACAAAACAUAUGGGAUCAAAUUUGUUAUCCAGGGCUGAAUACAUUUCCUAAAAUUCUUAAACAGUUGCCAAAUUAAAUGCAAAAACACAUUUAGUGAGUCAUUCUGAACUCAGAGUCUUGUGAAUAGACCAAAACAGAUCCAAUUUUACAGGAAGUGUCCAUUUUCAUUGCAUAAUCUGAUAUGGAGAUGUGAUGAUGCUAGAAUCACUUCUGAAACUAAAACCAGAGGUGCUUUAUCUAAAAAAAAAAAAAAAGAAAAGAAAAAAAAAGUGUCUGAACCAUAGCAUAGUUGUUAGCACACUUGCAUCUGACAUUUUGAGCAGUAGUGAUUUCCUGAUCCUGUUGGCCCCUCUUCUCUCAAUCAUUUUAAGUGCUCUCUAUAGUGUUUCAUCAAUAAAAAUGGCAAAGAAAAUGAAUGCUUAUUGUAAAAAUCUGAUCCAAAAUUUGUCCAUUUACAGGGUUACACCAACCAACAUGCUUAAUCAUUGAAUGUAUUUAGUAUUUAUUUAUAUACUAUUAUAUGUAAAUGUGUUCAUAUUUUGAAUUAGCUUAAAAAAAAAAAAAAAAAAAACCAGGGCAGUUGUGGCCUAAUGGAUAGAGAGUUGGACUUGUAACCCCAAGGGUCACAGAUUCGAGUCUUAGGUCCGUCAGGGAUUGUAGGUGGGGGGAGUGAAUAUCCAGCACUCUCUCCACUCUCAAUACCACAACUGAGGUGAGACCCUUGAGCAAGGCACUGAACCCCCAACUGCUCCCCUGGCGCCACAGCAUUGGC